UUACGGCGGAUCGUACGGUGCUCCUUCACCUGCUCCCUCUGCUGCGCCGCCGCAACCUUACGGCGGAUCGUACGGUGCGCCUGCUCCCUACGCUGCGCCGCCGUCGGGUUAUCCGUACAGCGCCGCUCCUGCUCCGGCACCUUAUGGUCAACAACAACCGAAUUACGGUGCUCCUCCUGCGCCGUACUCUCAGGGAGGUAGUUACGGGCAGCCCGGUUACUCGAUGGGAACUUACGGGCAGCAGCAGGGGAAUUACGGGCAGGCAAGCUAUGGGCAGCAAUCAGGGUACAAGUGCGAGGAGGAGAAGAAGAAGGGCAAGUUUGGAGGAAUGGGGUUGGGAGCAGGAUUGGCUAUGGGUGCGGUUGCAGGGGCAUUGGGUGGACUCGCGAUUUCGGAGGGUAUUGAUCACAUAGAGGAUAACAUCGCAGAUAAGGCUGCCGAGAAGGUUGAGGAUGAUCUCGCCGAUGAUGAUUAUGAUGGUGAUGAUUUCUAGGAAAAUUACCUACCAUCUUUGAUCUAGUUAACUUUGAUUUGCAUUUUCUAUGGUAGGAUUAUCCUGCAAGCUAAAAACUGGGUUCUUUAACCUUGAAAACAAAAGCUUGUAGACUUUAUGAUUUUAAUUAUUGUUUGAUGUAAUAUGUUUUGUCGUGACGAACACAUAAACAUGUAAUGUAUGCAAGUUGUUGCUAUCAAUUUGGAUGUUUACGUCCAAACUUCCAUUUGGCAGAUUUGCGAUCCGAUUAUGAUGGUGAUGAUUUCUAGGAAAUUACAUACCAUCUUUGAUCUAGUUAACUUUGAUUUGCAUUUUCUAUGGUAGAAUUAUCCUGAAAGAUAAAAAUUGGGUUCUUUAAAGCUUGUAAACUUUAUGCUUUUAAUUGUUGUUCGAUGUAAUAUGUGAAGUGUCGAACACAUAACAUGUAAUGGACAAAAGUUGUUGCUAUCAAUUUGGAUGUGUAUGUCCAAACUUACAUUA
rnacentral:lncRNA from 1 species